UGCCGUGAGCAUCGUACGCUGAAUAAAAUAGGCGUAGUGAAAGGGAACCGUCUGAACUGAAACAUCUUAGUAGGGCGAGGAAAAGAGAGUAAAUAACGAUUCUGGGAGUAGUGGCGAGCGAAACUGGAAUAGCCCAAACCUUGUAUUGUUUUGUUCUCAUCAUCUGGACUGACAUGUCUACCUCGGUAGGUGAGUCGGUGUGGAUGGUGAGAACGAUAUGGCUGACAGGCUAAUGCAAUCAGGGUGUUGUGAGUCUACAGAGUUUUAAGAUCCAGCACUUCUAUACGGAGUGUUGAAUCUUAAAAGUGACGACUGUCAUCGAGCACAUAAGGUAAAAAAUCGGCGUGGUUAGCAGAACGAGUUGGAAAGCUCAGCCGGAGACUGUGAUAGCCAGGUAUGCGAAAACGACGCUGACCUUAUUCUGUAUUCUCGAGUAGGUCGGGGCACGAGAAACCCUGAUUGAAUCCGGCUGGACCACCAGCCAAGGCUAAAUAUAGUAUAUGAUCAAUAGUGAACUAGUACGGUGACGGAAAGGUGAAAAGAACCCCGGGAGGGGAGUGAAAUAGAACCUGAAAUUUUGUGCCUACAAGGAGUCGGAGCCGGCUUGUCCGGUGACGGCGUGCUUUUUGUAGAACGAUCCAGCGAGUUAAUUUCGUGCGCAAGGUUAAGCCAGUUGGCGGAGCCACAGUGAAAGCGAGCCUGAAUAGGGCGAUUAAGUGUACGGGAUUAGACCCGAAACCGGGUGACCUAACCAUGAGCAGGUUGAAGCCACUGUAACAGGUGGUGGAGGACCGAACCAGGAUACGCAGCAAAGUGUUUGGAUGACUUGUGGUUAGCGGUGAAAUGCCAAUCGAACUCGGAGAUAGCUGGUUCUCCUCGAAACAGUUUUAGGACUGGCGUCAUGUGGUAGCAGUCGGGGGUAGAGCUCUGUAAAGGACUGGGGGGAGCAAUCCUACCCACCCUUAAUAAACUACGAAUACCGGCUGUGGAAUCAUGGCAGUUAGAACGGCGGAGCUAAGUUCGUCGCUCAAAAGGGAAACAGCCCAGACCAUCGUCUAAGGUCCCUAAAUUUACGUUAAGUGGGAAACAAGGUGAGAUUUCUUAAACAGCUAGGAUGUUGGCUUAGAAGCAGCCAUUCAUUUAAAGAGUGCGUAACAGCUCACUAGUCAAGAGAUCUUGCGUGGAAAAUGUAACGGGGCUAAACGUAAUACCGAAGACAUGGGUCUAUGCAUUAGCAUGGGCGGUAGAGGAGCGUUCCUAUCGGCAGUGAAGCAGCAUUGUAAAGUGCUGUGGAGCGGUAGGAAGUGAGAAUGCUGGAAUGAGUAACCAUAAGAGAGGUGAGAAUCCUCUCGGCCGUAAGAGCAAGGUUUCCUGAGCUAUGGUAAUCAUCUCAGGGUUAGUCGGGCCUAAGCCGAGGCGCAUAGCGUAGGCGAUGGACAUCAGGUUGAUAUUCCUGAACCGGCGUAGUUUGUACACUGUUCACGGAGAGAUAUUCAGAGCGGAUUCAUGGUUUAUCCGUCCAACCGAGCGGGAACGCAAAGGGAGUGAAAGUUACUCUGCGGAGUGAUGAUUCUGGAAAAGGCUCUGGCUAGAAAAGCAGGUGUACGCGUGGCUAUGUCCGCCCGUACCGCAAACCAACACAGGUGCUCGAGUCGAGUAGACUCAGGCUUACGAGUGAACCUUCGCUAAGGAACUCGGCAAUACAGCGACCGUAACUUCGGAAUAAGGUCUGCCCCCACUUCGGUGGAUAUGUUGUCGGUUUCAAAGCUAGCAGGUGUGGUUGAAGAGUAGUAUCUUUAAUACAUCAAUUCUUCUUGAGAUAGAACUAAUAGCUUUUGGAGCUGAAGCUCAACGCAUCUAGCGAUGUGGGGGCCGCAGCAAAAGAGCCCACGGAACUGUUUAUCAAAAACACAGCUCUCUGCUAACACGAAAGUGGAUGUAUAGGGGGUGACUCCUGCCCGGUGCUGGAAGGUUAAGGGGAGUGCUUCACGGUACGAACUGAAGCCCCAGUGAACGGCGGCGGUAACUAUAACCGUCCUAAGGUAGCGAAAUUCCUUGUCAGGUAAGUUCUGACCCGCACGAAUGGAGUAAUCAUGUGGGCACUGUCUCAGCGAAGGACUCGGUGAAAGUGCAUUGGCGGUAAAGAUGCCGUCUGUCCAUACCAGGACGAGAAGACCCCAUGGAGCUUUACUACAGCUUUACAUUGAUCCAGGUUUCAGCAUGUGUAGCAUAGUUGGGAGACUUUGAAGCAGAUACGCUAGUAUUUGCGGAGUCGCAAUGUGAAAUACCAACCUUGCUGUGAUCUUGAUCUCACUUGUGCCGUUAUCCGGUACAAGGACCGUGUAUGGUGGGUAGUUUAACUGGGGCGGUUGCCUCCUAAAUGGUAACGGAGGCGCCCAAAGGUUUCCUCAGUCUGGUUGGCAAUCAGAUGGUGAGUGUAAGUGUAUAAGGGAGCUUGACUGUGACACUGACGGGUGGAGCAGGUGCGAAAGCAGGGACUAGUGAUCCGGCACCGACGUGUGGUUGUGGUGUCGCUCAACGGAUAAAAGGUACCCCGGGGAUAACAGGCUGAUCUUCCCCAAGAGUUCAUAUCGACGGGAUGGUUUGGCACCUCGAUGUCGGCUCGUCGCAUCCUGGGGCUGGAGUAGGUCCCAAGGGUUGGGCUGUUCGCCCAUUAAAGCGGCACGCGAGCUGGGUUUAGAACGUCGUGAGACAGUUCGGUCUCUAUCCGCCGCGCGCGUUGAAACUUGAAGAAGGCUGUCCCUAGUACGAGAGGACCGGGAUGGACGUACCUCUGGUAUGCCAGUUGUCACGCCAGUGGCAUGGCUGGUUAGCUACGUGCGGGAGGGAUAACCGCUGAAAGCAUCUAAGCGGGAAGCCUGUUUUAAGAUGAGGUUUCUAUUGAGGUUCCCUGUAGAUGAUGGGGUUGAUAGGCCAGGGCUGUGAGCAUGGUGACGUGUUGGAGGUGACUGGUACUAAUACACCGACACAAAAAAC
rnacentral:rRNA from 1 species